GUUUACAAACAAUGCAUCCCAUUUUUGUGAUCGAAAAAAGAGAAACAAAAGCCGGAGCCAGCGACAUCGCUCGAAUUUAUUCAAUCUUGGCGACAAGACUAAGUGUUUGCAGAACCAUAGGAGGAUCGUUGGAAGAGACGAAGACAAGGUAAUGGCUUAAACACACGAAAUGUUUUUAGGAAGACGUGCUGGCCAAACUAUUGCAAGUUUGACUGUUCAGCAUAAUGUUAGAUCAACAAACUCUUCACCUAUGCACGAUCAUCAGCCCCAGCCAGGUCCUGGCCUGUCAUUUGUGUCACAAGGAAGUACCACACCUGGUCAUGUGUCAGGAAUUGGAGAGAUAACAUCUUACUUAGAAGUAAAUUGAAGGCAGCCAACAAUUG